rnacentral:rRNA from 1 species
UACGUAGGGGGCAAGCGUUGUCCGGAUUUAUUGGGCGUAAAGAGCGUGUAGGCGGCUAUGCAGGUCCGUUGUGAAAACUCGAGGCUCAACCUCGAGACGCCGAUGGAAACCGUAUGGCUAGAGUCCGGAAGAGGAGAGCGGAAUUCCUGGUGUAGCGGUGAAAUGCGCAGAUAUCAGGAAGAACACCCGUGGCGAAGGCGGCUCUCUGGGACGGUACUGACGCUGAGACGCGAAAGCGUGGGGAGCGAACAGG